UCCGACCAGACCAGAACAGACCAGCUUCGAAACGAAAACGAGUAGAAUGCGAAACCACGCGCCUAGUGGAGCGGGUGGGAGAAAACUGUAUCCAUCUUCGACGGGGUUUAAGUUCCAUUUUGAGUCAGUGAGAAUGGUGGUAGUGAUUUUGUCUUCUGUUUGGGUUAGUAUCUCAGUCUUAUGGGUUCAUAGCAAUUGUAAUUAGGUCUAGCGAAGUUAAGUUGUGGAGAAGGAUGAUGAUGAUGAUGAUGAUGCAAUGGUUCAGUAACAAUUAAAGAAAGAGGAAGCAGAGAAUGGGAGGAAGAGGAAGAAACCAGUAGAAUCUGAAGAAGAGAGUGUGUUUAUCUUUUCUAACUAAGCUAGGUGAAGAAAUGGACUCAGUUUAUCAUUUUUGCUCAGGGUCCAUUUUAUCUUUAAGACGGGUCUGGUUAGGACCUGAGUUUGAUUCAGGGUGCAUCUUGGUUUCAUACAUGGAGUCUGAUUUCUUUGGGAACAUUGCUCUUUUGUGUAAGUUUCCAUGGCGUUAUGAAACUCUAAUCUCUUGUGAACAGAGUAAUCAGUAGAGGCGAAAAAUGCUCUUUACUCGCUAUGAAAAUGCAACAUUUUUGUUCUA